rnacentral:rRNA from 1 species
UACGAAGGGUGCAAGCGUUGUUCGGAAUCAUUGGGCGUAAAGCGCGCGCAGGCGGAUCAGCAAGUCAGAUGUGAAAUCUCGGAGCUCAACUCCGAAACUGCGUCUGAAACUGCUAGUCUAGAAUGUCGGAGGGGGCAGGGGAAUUUCACGUGUAGGGGUAAAAUCCGUAGAGAUGUGAAGGAACACCGGGGGCGAAGGCGCCUGCCUGGACGACUAUUGACGCUGAGGCGCGAAAGCGUGGGGAGCAAACAGG